rnacentral:tRNA from 1 species
UGUCCAAUAGUAUAAUGGUAGUACUUCAGAUUCUGGCUCUGAUAGUCUUGGUUCGAAUCCAGGUUGGACAA